rnacentral:rRNA from 1 species
AGAUAGCGCCUACGUGAGGCAGCAGUAGGGAAUUUUCGUCAAUGGGGGCAACCCUGAACGAGCAAUGCCGCGUGAGCGAAGAAGGUCUUCGGAUUGUAAAGCUCUGUUGCCGGGGAAAAAGGAAGGAAAGAGGAAAUGCUUUUCUUUGGAUGGUACCCGGCCAGAAAGUCACGGCUAACUACGUGCC